rnacentral:rRNA from 1 species
UACGUAGGGUCCAAGCGUUAUCCGGAAUCACUGGGCGUAAAGCGUGCGUAGGCGGCUUCUCACGUGCAAUGCGAAAUCCUCCCGCUCAACGGGAUGGACUGUAUUGCAUACGGGGUUGCUAGAGGAUGGCAGAGGCAAGUGGAAUUACCGGUGUAGGAGUGAAAUCCGUAGAUAUCGGUAGGAACACCAAUGGCGAAGGCAGCUUGCUGGGCCAUUUCUGACGCUAAGGCACGAAAGCGUGGGGAGCGAACAGG